rnacentral:rRNA from 1 species
AAAUUGAAGAGUUUGAUCAUGGCUCAGAUUGAACGCUGGCGGCAGGCCUAACACAUGCAAGUCGAACGGUAACAGGAAGCAGCUUGCUGCUUCGCUGACGAGUGGCGGACGGGUGAGUAAUGUCUGGGAAACUGCCUGAUGGAGGGGGAUAACUACUGGAAACGGUAGCUAAUACCGCAUAAUGUCGCAAGACCAAAGAGGGGGACCUUCGGGCCUCUUGCCAUCGGAUGUGCCCAGAUGGGAUUAGCUAGUAGGUGGGGUAACGGCUCACCUAGGCGACGAUCCCUAGCUGGUCUGAGAGGAUGACCAGCCACACUGGAACUGAGACACGGUCCAGACUCCUACGGGAGGCAGCAGUGGGGAAUAUUGCACAAUGGGCGCAAGCCUGAUGCAGCCAUGCCGCGUGUAUGAAGAAGGCCUUCGGGUUGUAAAGUACUUUCAGCGGGGAGGAAGGGAGUAAAGUUAAUACCUUUGCUCAUUGACGUUACCCGCAGAAGAAGCACCGGCUAACUCCGUGCCAGCAGCCGCGGUAAUACGGAGGGUGCAAGCGUUAAUCGGAAUUACUGGGCGUAAAGCGCACGCAGGCGGUUUGUUA